GUUGAAUCUGAAAAGCAAGGGGCUGCAUUACUUGGAAGCAAGAGCAUCGCCAAAUCUAGCUGAGAUUUCAGGAAAUGGUUGGAGGCACACUGUUGACUUGGAGAAAAAAGAGUGCUCUUGUAGGAGAUGGCAGAUUUGUGGUAAGCCAUGCACACAUGCUCUUCGGUUCAUUUUCUCUAAACAAGCAAAGCUAGAGGAAUAUGUUGACGAGUACUUCUCGGUGGCAAGAUUUCAAGCGGCGUACAAGGGAGUUCUAGUGCCAAUUAGGGGCAGGUCGCAAUGGCCCAAGGUAAAUCCUGGGUUUGAUAUGAUUCCUCCCAAACUUACCAAGAGUGCUGGCCGUCCAAGAACAAGAAGGAUAAAAAAUUACACCGAGGGUGGAACCGGUAGAAAACAUAAAUGCAAAAGGUGUGGAGCCAUAGGCCAUCUUCUGAAGACAUGCACAGAGCGAGAGAUUGAAAGUGAUGCCGACCGAGAUGCUACACCUUCUCCACGGAAAAAAUCAAAGGGUGAAGCAAGCAUUGCAACAACUUCUUCUCCUAAGACACCAACUAAGCAAGGUACUCAAGUUGCUACUCCUACAAGUCCAAUGACAAGGCAGAGGGCUGCAGCUAUUGCAAUUGCUUCUUCACCUCCAAGUGCAUCUACAAGGAGUAAAAGUUUCGGUCCUAGCCCUCUUCGACAAAUUUAGUGUAUUUGGCUAUGGGAACCAUUCUCUUAUGGCUGUGAUAUCAUUAGAACCAUGCUCUUAUGGCUGUGAUAAUCACGAGAACCAUAAUCUUUUGUGGGUAGUGGUCUAAA